rnacentral:rRNA from 1 species
UACGAAGGGGGCUAGCGUUUUUCGGAAUUACUGGGCGUAAAGCGCACGUAGGCGGAUUUGUUAGUCAGGGGUGAAAUCCCGGGGCUCAACCUCGGAACUGCCUUUGAUACUGCAAGUCUCGAGUCCGGAAGAGGUGGGUGGAAUUCCUAGUGUAGAGGUGAAAUUCGUAGAUAUUAGGAAGAACACCAGUGGCGAAGGCGGCCCACUGGUCCGGUACUGACGCUGAGGUGCUAAAGCGUGGGGAGCAAACAGG